UACGUAGGGUGCAAGCGUUAAUCGGAAUUACUGGGCGUAAAGCGUGCGCAGGCGGUUAUGUAAGACAGUUGUGAAAUCCCCGGGCUUAACCUGGGAACUGCGGCCGAAACUGCUGGGCUUGAGUGUGGUAGAGGGCGGUGGAAUUCCGGGUGUAGCGGUGAAAUGCGCAGAUAUCAGGAGGAACACCAGCGGCGAAGGCGGCGCUCUGGGCCGGAACUGACGCUGAGGAGCGAAAGCGUGGGUAGCAAACAGG
rnacentral:rRNA from 1 species